UUUUUUUUUUUUUGCCAGUGAUUUUUCUUUUUUGGUUUUGCUUUGUAGCUAGGUUAACAUAUAUGUUCCCAAUAUUGGACAGUGUGCACGUUUACUUUCAUGCAAUCAUUUAAUCUAAAUGUCUAAAGCUAAACUAUGUACCCAAGGCGUUACCUUAAAGAGCCAUGCCAGCCUCUAGCCAUUUAAUUAGCAAUUGAGAAAAUGCUAAUGGAGUAAAAGGUCAUUUUGCAGGGACAUCUCCCUAACAGCAUAAAUAAUACAAAAAGAUGCUUAGAGUAUAUUUUUAAUAUUUCAUAGGUUUAGUACUGGAGAUGGUUUGUGCACCUAUUCAUUGAAAUAUUCUACAUCGUAUUAAACUUUUUUAGGCUUAACCAUUUCUUACAAGUACCAAUUUUAUUUAUUUAUAUUUAUUAUUUUGACAAACCAUUUUUCAAGUGUAAAAUUAGUUCAUUUUCCAAUUCUUAAAUGUAAUGUAAUAUAAAAAAAAAACAUGUCCAAGUAGUCAGAGAACUUUCCAAGGCACUGUAGAAUGCAUUACCUACAGUUUAAUUUUUCAUUUUCCUAGGGCCUGCAGAAUAUGAUGUGCAUAGUCCAAACAGUUACAGGCCUCUCACAUAUGAAAGAGACCUAUUCUGAGCCACAAGCUAGUGAUUAAGAAGAACCACUUGUCUAAUUUGAUGCUUAAACUGGCAGAGUAACUUCAUGAAGAAGUUUUUCAUGAACAUAGACUCUAUAAAACUUGAAAAUACACUAAAUCAAUCAAAGGGAAUGUAUAUGACAAUGUAGAGAAUAAAUUGUAUUAUGUAAGCUUUAAAAAUAUUUGCUGUAUAGUGACAUUUCCCUUGUGCCAGAGCGAAAAAAUAUUUGGAGGAUCAAUUUUGCACUCUUGCUUGUCACUUCAUCUGCCGGGAGAUGAACACCAAAAAAAUGGCAACAAUUAGAAUUUCAGGUAAAUACAUUUCCAUUUCUUCCCCACCCUAGACCUCACCAUGCAAGCAGGCAGGCCAUGUAUAGGGACUUAGAAGUAAUUACAAGGACUCCACAAAUCACAGUGCUACUUUGAUGGCAUUGGCAAUAAA